GUGCGGUGCGGUGCGGUCUGUCGCUAUCCGCCGCCAUCCGCCGUCUGGCGGGUCUGGGAGGCGCGGUGGAGGCGUACGAGAGGUGGAUUUCUCUGAACACUGCUCACCUCAGCCAUCUGGGGUGCGAUAUGCGCUAGGAGGGGUGGGCUCGGGCUGUCUGGGUCUGCACCGUGGGGCCUGCGUGUGUUCUUAGGCCUGGUCCUGGGGACCAUGGCCUGGUGGGUCAGCCGUGCCCGAGGGGUGAUGCGGCUGUAUCCGUGCACGUGCGAGGGAGCCCACGAGGAUCCCACGGAGACACCGAGCGUCUGCACGAUUAUUAGCGAUUGCUAAGCGAUCCCAGUCCUUAGAGAAAGCAGGUGUGUCUUAGAGCUGCUCCUCCUGACUCACGCUGUUUUCUCCCCACAGCAUCCACCACUUCUUCCUUUCUGUUUUCUGUGCUGCGUGCCUCGGCCCUAAAGCUUGCAGUUCCCCUGUCUGAUGGUCGAGACGGACACCUGAUGCUGCAGGGAGCAGGCAGGUCUUUAAAUCCUGGUUGAAAGGAGUGCUACCUCUGAUGGUUCCAGCCCUGUCUUGGGGUUUCUGCUGGGCCCCACAGAGCUGCCUGCAACUGCCACUCAGUUCUUUGUGCUGAAGCUGUGAAGCUGCAUCUGAAGCUGCAUUUAGAAGAAAUGUGAGCUCACGGGUGAUGCUCUGCUGGAUCACAUGAAGGUGAAACGGUGCUGAGUGCCCAGCAUGAAGUGUGCGAGCCCAGUGCAGCUCGGAACCCUGGGUGAACAGCCACAACUGGAAGUCUCCAACUUGCCUGUGUGCUCUGCGGUGCGGUGAGGAGCUGCUCAGCGCAGGAUGGGCCCACAAGAAGUUUCCUGAGGAAGAGGAGAGGAUUUGGGUGCAUUUCCCCACCCUUGGAACAGGAUUCAGCAGUGGGGGCUUCUGCUCUCCAAAGCACCCAGUGCUGAUGAGGAGUGUUGGCUGUGUACUGAUAUUUUGGGGGUACAGUUGCUUGUAUUUACUGCUGUACAAGCACGUGUCGCAUCAAUAAAUACAAAUCUCUGGUAUUUUCACA